GGGGAUUUGGCUCAGUGGUAGAGCGCUUGCCUAGGAAGCGCAAGGUCCUGCUUCAGUCCCCA
rnacentral:tRNA from 1 species